CCCAACUAUCCCUAUUAAUCAUUACGGUGAUUCAGAAACCAACAAAACAGGACCACCGUCCUAUUUUAUUAUUCCAUGCUAAUGUAUUCAGACAUAAGCCUGCUUUGAACACUCUAAUUUUUUCAAGGUAAAGGUCCUGGUUUCCUACCACGCUAAAUUAAUAACAUGAUAGUUCCCCAGAAGGUAGAAAUUCCACACGCCAGUACAGACAAUAGCCCGACCAACGGUGGAACCCCGAAAUUCAACUACGA
rnacentral:rRNA from 1 species